rnacentral:lncRNA from 1 species
GCAGCAGCGGGGAGAGGGCAGCCCCCUGGCUUGAGGGGUGAUGGGGCCGGCGGGAUUUCCUGGUGGGGCCCUCCCGGCUCGCUGACCCCUCGCUGUCUGACCCCGGUACCCAGCGAACCCGGGCCCCCGACGGGAGGGCCCGCGGCGGCCCAAGUCCUGGAAGAAAGGGACGCCGGAGAGGAGGAGGUCGGGGUGGCAAGGGGGCGGGGGGUAACUCACCUCGGCGCAGCCAGCCGCGGCGUGGGCAGGCCCGGGAGGGGCGAGGGCGCGGCCCGCUCAGCCGCCCGCCGCAGGACGGUCCUGGGCGCCCGGCUCGCCUGCGCUCCGCCCGCCUGCCCGAUCCCAAAUUGCUCAAUCUGCGGGCGGCUCACGCCCUCCGGGGCCGGCGCCCCACCCGGCGCAUCGGCCCUCUGGGGCGGCUCGGGCGGCCCUGACUCCCCGCAGCCCACGAGCGCACAGCCGCAGCCCGGCGGCCGCCGCGGCUCUCCGCCCUGCGCUCGCGCUCUGCUUCGCGCCUCCGCUCGGCCCGAGCUCCCGGCCCGGAGAGGGGCCAGUCCUCCGCUCGCACGAGGGAGGGAAUCCCCCCCACCCCUUCGCGGUCCCACCCCCGAGCCGGCCCCCCUGCCUGGGAUCCGCAAGAAAAAACGGACUGGAGCGCCGGGCCCCGGACUCCGCAGCCCCCUCCCGCACGCCCCGGCCCGACUCUGGCGCGCUCAGCUCGGGGCGCGGGGCUGGCUCCGGACCUGGCACGCACCCUCCAGCCCCUCCCCGUGCCCUGCACCCUGGGGAUUCCACGCAGCCAGAGCACCGGCGGCAGCUCCACGCAUCUUGGGGGUCAGAGCAGGGCCUCGGAUGCCCGCAAAACCUGUUUCCCCAUCAGGAACUUGGAAAGUAGUUAAGGGGCAGGCCACAAAGACCCUUGUCUUGACCACAACCUUCUCCCCUUCAGGGUCAAAUCUGCAGAGCAUCUUGAAGGUUCAGAAGCAAUUCCAAGCUGGGCACCCAGGUGAAUGCUAA